AUGCUGUGAAAAAAAGAAUCAACAAGCUUCUCCUUUGCAAGAUGCUGAUAGUUCUAGCUAUGCAGCCAAUCAAAAAAAGGAUCCUCUUGACCAUGGGGUUAGCCAACAUGAACCAAUUGUCCAAACAUGCUUAAGAGUCUUUCCAACACAAUUAUAAAAACAACAUUAACAUGAUUCUCUCAAAGCCAAGCUCCCUCUCCAUAUGGAGAGGUUGCAUCUGCUUGCACAAAGAUUCAUUACACAGGAAAGGAGUUAGAAAGCAGGUGAAUUUCUCUUUAUGUUUCCUGAAUCUGAAAAGUUGUGGCUACCAAAAAAGAUGGAUAAAUAAGAGUCCCUGGAGGAAGACAUCUACAUCAAUGAACUCCCUAUUGUUCCUGUGUCAUUUUACUUUAAUUGUUGAGAUUAAUAAAUUGCCCUUCCCAUGUUUCUGUCAAGAC
rnacentral:lncRNA from 1 species